rnacentral:rRNA from 1 species
UACGGAGGGGGCUAGCGUUGUUCGGAAUUACUGGGCGUAAAGCGCGCGUAGGCGGACCUGCAAGUCGGGGGUGAAAGCCCGAGGCUCAACCUCGGAACUGCCUUCGAUACUGCGGGUCUCGAGUCCGGGGGAGGUGAGUGGAAUUCCUAGUGUAGAGGUGAAAUUCGUAGAUAUUAGGAAGAACACCAGUGGCGAAGGCGGCUCACUGGCCCGGUACUGACGCUGAGGCGCGAAAGCGUGGGGAGCAAACAGG